CUACGGGCGGCUCCAGUGAGGAAUAUUGCACAAUGGGGGGAACCCUGAUGCAGCGACGCCGCGUGGAGGAUGACGCAUUUCGGUGUGUAAACUCCUUUUAUAUGUCAAGAAAAUGACGGUAGCAUAUGAAUAAGCACCGGCUAACUCCGUGCCAGCAGCCGCGGUAGUACGGAGGGUGCAAGCGUUACUCGGAAUCACUGGGCGUAAAGGACGCGUAGGCGGGUUGGAAAGUCAGGUGUGAAAUCCUACAGCUUAACUGUAGAACUGCACUUGAAACUUCUAAUCUAGAGUAUGGGAGGGGGAGAUGGAAUUAGUGGUGUAGGGGUAAAAUCCGUAGAUAUCACUAGGAAUACCUAAAGCGAAGGCGAUCUCCUGGAACAUUACUGACGCUAAGGCGUGAAAGCGUGGGGAGCAAACAGGAUUAGAUACCCCUGUAGUC
rnacentral:rRNA from 1 species